GCAAAGCUGACGCUUAACGCCGCGUGAGUGAUGAAGGCCUUCGGGUUGUAAAGCUCUUUCGGUUGGGAAGAAGGGUGUGCGUACUAAUAAUGCGUACAUUUGAUGGUACCAAAAGAAGAAGCACCGGCUAACUUCGUGCCAGCAGCCGCGGUAAUACGAAGGGUGCGAGCGUUGUUCGGAAUGACUGGGCGUAAAGGGUUCGUAGGCGGGAGAGCAAGUUAAGUGUGAAAUCCCCGGGCUUAACCCGGGACGUGCACUUAAAACUGCUUUUCUUGAGUCGAGGAGAGGGUGAUGGAAUUGCUGGUGUACGAGUGACAUCCGUAGAGAUCAGCAGGAACACCGGAGGCGAAGGCGAUCACCUGGCCGAAGACUGACGCUGAGGAACGAAAGCGUGGGGAGCAAACAGGAUUAGAUACCCUGGUAGUCCACGCCGUACACGAUGAUAACUAGAUGUUGCGGGAAUUGACCCCCGCAGUAUCGCAGCUCACGCAUCACGUUAUCCGACUGGGGAGUACGGCCGCAAGGCUAAAACUCAUCGGACUUGACGGGGGCCCGCACAAGCGGCGGAGUAUGUGGCCC
rnacentral:rRNA from 1 species